GUCUGUUUGUGCGUUUAUAAAUAGUCUGGCCUGCCCACUGAUAUUUUAAAGGGCCGCGGUAAUUUGACCGUGCAAAGGUAGCAUAAUCAUUUGUCUUUUAAUUGGAGUCUUGUAUGAAUGGUCGGAUGAGAUACUAGCUGUCUCUUUUCUAUUGGUUGAAUUUAACUUUUAAGUGAAAAGGCUUAAAUGUGGUGAAGUGACGAUAAGACCCUAUAAAACUUUAUAUGUUUUUAUUAUUAUUAAGAAUACAUAAAUUAAUAUUAAUAUUAAUCGUAUUUCAUUGGGGAAAUGUUUAUAUAAUUUUUAAUUGUUUAUUUUAAUAUAAUAGUUUAUAAUUAGAUUGUGAUCCUUUACUAUGGAUUAUAAGUAAAGUUACUUUAGGGAUAACAGCGUGAUUUUCUCUGAGAGUUCCUAUCGACGGGGUAAGUUGCGACCUCGAUGUUGAAUUAAAAUUUCAGGUUGGUGUAAUCGCUUUCCUAGUGGGUCUGUUCGACCUUUAAAAUUUUACAUGAUUUGAGUUCAAGCCGGUGUGAG
rnacentral:rRNA from 1 species